rnacentral:lncRNA from 1 species
CCUAAAAAUAUGCAGAGGAGGGAAAGCUUCUAAAGCAGUUUUUCCUGCAAUAAAAAAUGCAUAUUCUAUGGACACAGGAGUAAAUUGGCUAAGUUUGGUGCCAACUGGAGUGAUGUUCUGAUCGCAUUUGGGUAGGAAGAUAGAAAGAAAUGCUGCACGUGAUCGAUGCAUCUUCUUCCUACUUCCAUCCCUCUUUACAAAGCACUGGGGUUUUUCCGUUUUGUUUUAGGUUAGGGAAAAGGAACUACGCAGGACACCACAACACACUGCAUCUUAUCCAGCAACGGACCACCAAACUACAGAGAGCAGAGAACCAGAGUUUGGAAAGGCAUUGUAACCAUACAGAAAGGCACAUAAGGAAGAGUAUGCAAGGAAGAAAAAAAGCUUGAACAGCUGCAAGAUUUGGGGUAGUAAAACACAGCGGAGACCUAAACAUAAGAACAAAGAGUUUUAACUUACUGUGCAGGCAGAGAUGUGAGAGCUUCAAACAUUAAGGGAACAACAGGCCACAGGAAUGUCAUUGUAUACAGAGCAAGGACAAAUACUGAAACUGCAGUGGAGAAAACAACUAAUUGGUUGAGAUAUGCAAAGCACAGGUGAGUUAUCCAUGUGGCCAGAAGUAACAUGAUUGGUCUCCAUGGGAAGGAGAGGACUGUUUCCAUAACACAGCAAUGAAUUUGGAAUGAACCCAUUCCCUACCUCCUAUACACACGCAACAUCUAAUACAUCCAGCUCCUCCAAAACCAGUGCGUAACAGCAAUGGUUGCACUUGUGCUUUGCCUGUUACCAGCCCUACCAUCCCCUUCUGGCUCAUCUCUAAAUAUGCCUAAUCCUUACUUCCAUACCACACUCACACCCACCUCCUGUGCUGGCUUUUUUAAUUCCGUACCUCCAACUCCUGAUGACGCAUUCUUCCUUUCUGCCUUCCAAGCCAAGGAAAUUCUGUUCUGGUACUGGACCACUGCUCUCUUCGCCAGGUACUAUAGAAAAGAGAAAAAUGUAGCCUUUAUUUGUACAGUCUCGUUGUGGUUCUCCCUAUUACUCUCGGGAAAUUAAAUAAAUAAACAAAUAAUACUUGCACUAAAACAUCAAAGGUAGGAACAAGAUCUCAUCUCACUACUCAAGCAGCUGGGAUCCCACUUGAGCAGCUGAGUGAGUAAGCUCAUCAGGAAGAGACCAAUGCUUCAGGCCUGGCCAUGUUGGUUUUUAAGAAAAAAAAAAUGGGACACAGUAGCAAAUGGAAAAGCAAAACUGAAAAUUACCCUGUGUUGCCUGGUAAGAACUGUAAAAAUACCGAAGAAAAAGAGAAACAAACUUAGGAAAAAGAAGAACUUUGGUCAGCUGGCUUGAAGUCGUCCAACAGUCUGACAGACGGGAAGCAGGAGAUUGAGGAUGUGUUUUCACCAUGCAGUUAACCAAUGUUGUUCAUCGAAUUUUCUCUCAGAUUCUUUAAGCUAAGGCUGCCUAGCCAGGCCUGGAAUAAAAACGUGUGUCUGUGUGUACAUAUAUCAGACUGUUCUACUGAGCUGAUUAGCCUCCUUUUUAAUGAAGGCAAAGAUACUGAAGCACUAGUAGUUGCCCGAAGCCUUCCUGUGGUUUCAGAAGGACGGGACAAACACCCAAUGUCCUUUCUUCCACUAUUUCCC